AUAUGGCGGGCUCCAGGCUGGCGGCGGAGUGCGCGGCCCGGAGCUGGGGGAGCCGGCAGCGGCCUGUGGCUCUUGUCGCCGCUUCCUUGGCGCUGCUCAGCUGGCUCCGCACAGCGCACGGCGGCAGCGACGGGGGGAGUUCAUUAAAUGACGACUUAUUAUUGCCAUAUCCUCCUUCCUACUACGGUCCUCGUCACCAUCACAGGUACGUCAGAGACUGUCAAGCUGUCGUGCAUGGCAAUGUAACUCAUGAAACUUGGCCCAGCGACACUAGCACCAAACUUCCUGUGACUACGACAAAAGGAUUCGUGUCUUAUUUUCCACCAGGGGGCGAGCCACAAAGGGAAGUUUAUGGCCACUUUACUUUUGUGAACAACCCCCUGAGAACCUUCUCUGUGUUAGAGCCUGGUGGCUUGGGGGGUUGCAGUUCAAGCCAUCAGGCCACUGUGAUAGAAACUGCAAGACGUGGCAAGUGCCUAGUGGCCCAAAAUGGUGGCUACUUUGACAUGGUCACCGGAGAAUGCCUCGGGAACAUUGUGAGUGACGGAAGGCUGGUGAGAAAUGCCAGAGGCAUGCAGAACGCACAGUUUGGCAUCAGGAAGGACGGCACCAUGGUGUUUGGGUACCUGUCGGAGGAGGAUGUUUUGGAUCAAGUCAACCCAUUUGUGCAGCUGGUAAGUGGCGUAGUCUGGUUGCUGAGAGAUGGAGAAGUGUAUGUCGCUGAGAGUAAGACAGCAGAGUGUGACAAGACUCAAACCACAGGGUCCUUUGACAAGUUCAUCAAUGUGAUAUCUGCCAGGACGGCAGUGGGACAUGACAGGCUCGGGCGACUGAUCUUGGUUCAUAUGGAUGGACAGACUGAUGUGAGGGGCCUCAAUCUCUGGGAAAUGGCCAACUUCCUAAAGCAGCAGGGUGUCGUGAAUGCUAUCAAUCUGGAUGGUGGAGGGUCAGCCACUCUGGUUUUAAAUGGAACCCUUGCGAGUUACCCAUCGGAUCACUGCAAGUCCGACGCCAUGUGGCGUUGCCCUCGGAGCGUCUCAACAGUCAUGUGUAUCCACGAGCCUGCUUGCGAGCCUCCAGACUGCAGCGGGCACGGGCGCUGCGUGCUGGGAGAGUGCCAGUGCACUGGGGACUUCUGGAGAGGACCAGAUUGCACCGUCCUGGACUGCGGGCCUUCCAACUGCAGCCUGCAUGGCAUCUGCACUGAGUCUGGGUGCCUCUGUGAUGCUGGCUGGAUAGGCAGCAACUGCAGCGAAGCGUGUGCUAGCGGCUCCUAUGGGGAUGGCUGCACCCAGAAAUGCCUCUGUCUGAACGGUGGAGCGUGUGACCCUGUGCACGGAUCCUGCACCUGCCCGGCUGGUUACCAAGGAGCCAUCUGUCAGCAAGAGUGCCCCAUAGGCUGGUAUGGGCCAAACUGCCAGCAGCUCUGUGACUGCGAGCAUGGCUGUCCUUGUGACCAGGAGACGGGCAGCUGUAAUAUCACCUAUGAGGACAGCCUGCAGGACAAGUUAUCCAGAGCUGGCCACUGUCUGGCUUUCCACAUGGUUCAGGCAGGGAGUGACGAGAAACCCCUUCUCACGGAGAGAACCUGGAUCUGCUUCACCUCAGUCUUGGGGCUGCUGCUUUUGAUCAGUGUGGUAGGAAACCUGACGCUAGUUCUCAGGAGCCGGGCAGCGGAGCGCUGUGAACGUGGUGACUACAUGUACCAUCCACUGAAGGAGAUGAAUGGAGAAGCCAGUCAUACAUGCCCUUCUGCCUCUUUGGAGCAGUACCAGGCAGAAGCCACUCAAGAUCAAAGCCAGACAGAGACUGAAACACUCAUUUAACUUUACAGGUGAGAAAAGACUUGAGAUAGUCUCCCCAGCUGUGGUACUGGCUUUCAGCACCGAGGACCUACUCAGGGCUGCUUCGUCCUGGAAUGAGAAGCUAGUAACUUGCACAGAACGGCAGCAAGAAGGGACACAAGGUAGUAUUCACAAAACAUGUGACUAUGGGCUCAACCCAGCAGCUGCUUCCCUUCUUGCCACGCCUCAGUCAGAAAUCUCUCAGUUCCCUUCAUGGGCCUGGUGCUCAGGAGAGAGAGGGGACAUGGGAAGCCCUGUGCAACAGCCGCAACUGCUGCUCUACCAUGGAGAACAGGGGCCUGUAAUAACUGUGAGGGUUGGUCAAGUAUUCACUGCAUUAGUUGCAUGUGGAUAAGGAAUUCCCUGCCCAGCAAACUGAGCCUGAUUGAUUAAUGACAAUGAGAAGAAAACUUAAGAAAGGUCAGUGGAAGUGCAACAUGCACUAGCCCACAGCUUUUCCUCGCUUUGAGCCAGUUCUCCCACCAUGGCACGUUCCAUAGUUGAGCGGUGUGGCUAGAACAUGGUCACAUCUGGCUUGUUUCACUGAAGCUGUGUUUCUUGCAAUUUGGGCUGGAAGGCAUUUCUUUCACUAAGGGUAGAACUUGUCUGCCACAAGCUGGUUGUUCUGGAUGGCUGGUUGGCUGCCACAGUGAGGGAUGUAUUACAUUUUUUAUAGGGUCAUAAACAGUGUCACGUGAAAAGCCUUUUGUGUCAGUCCCCAAAAGUCUCACUCCUUCAGGGCAUGCAACUCCCCCUCUUCACUGUAAAGGGGGCAGGUUGUUGCACUGUGGCCAGAGCUGACACUCUGCUCUGGGGAUUUUAAGUGAUUCUGCUCCCCUCUUUAGAAAAGGUCAGUUUAGCUGGGGCUCACUCUCUGGACCUGGUCCUGUGCUGUCCGUGGGGCAGCGAAGAGUAAUUCACCUCGAAGGAAAAGCCUCAAGGCAACAGCACACGCAGGCUACAUCGAGGUGGAACGCUUGAGUUAAAUCAUAUGCUAAUUGUGCCAGGGGCAGCAUCUAACUUCUUUAUUCCCAACCAUGUUCCAACAUGGUAGGUGCUGAAGGCUCCAGUCACUGCUGUAAAAAUUGCAUUUGCCCUCUGAGUGCAGAAAGUUGCUUAAUAGAGAGGACUGAGGUUCAGUAGAUUUUAAAGUUGUCAAAGCUGGUAAACCUAUCAGGUGGAGGUUGAUGAUUUUUCUCGGCCAAUGAGUCUUUGUAGACUAAAAGGGUUUUUUAGAAACAUGUUCAUUGAGGCAAGUAAUUAGCCUCCAAUGUGCCACUGGCUGCUCCAAGGUGGGCUUAAAGCACCUUGAAUAUGCAUUUAGAUUAUUUUUACUGUGACUCUCCACAUAAGCAGAGCUUAUGGAGUUUUUGUGCCAUAUUUGAAGACUCAGCUCUAUCUGUACAUUUAAGAAUUGAUUUGCUAUUGGUUACUUACCACUUGAAUAAACUCAAUUAGUAAGUGACUGUUUGAACUCUUAAUAAACCAGUAUUCUAUCUCACACUGAGGGGAAAUGGUCUGUCACAGCCAGGUUUUCAACUGGGCUCCUUCCCAUUUUACCCACUGAGAAUCUUUGUAGAGCUAGAAGUGCUGCUGUGGGAUCUUGCAUCAUCCUCUGCCACUACAGAAAAGAAAAAUUAGUUUUAACUGAACUGCCAGCACAGCCCAUGAGACAGGUUUGUGAAAUGAGACAUAGCACUUGGUUACUUUGCCCAAUGGUCUGGAAAGAACAUGCUAUGAAGUUACCCCUAAGCACUGGUCUCCCAAGUAACAGUGCUCCACGCCCCUUCAAGAAGCCACAGUGACUAUUAAAGACAUUUGGGGUCAGGCAAUACAUGCAGUGAGUAAUUCCUCCAGAGGAUGUAUAGUCAAGUCAUGGCCCUUACAAAGAGAAAACUUCACUUCCCACCAAGAUCAAGGACGUGUCAAGGCUCCAUCUGGUGCUAACAAAGGGAAAUCUCUCUAAAGAAGACGACCAAUCUACUUGAAUCCAUUUUCCAUGUGGUGCGCCACAGACAUUUUAAAGGUUAGCUAUAUCUGGAAUUCCAGAGUCACAGUCUG